AUUGAACGCUGGCGGCAUGCCUAACACAUGCAAGUCGAGCGGAGCGGCGGACGGGCGAGUAAUGCCUAGGAAUGUGACUGGUAGUGAGGGAUAACGUCCGGACAAGGGCGCUAAUACCGCAUACUAUUAGCUGAGCAUAGGGAGGAUUAGCUCGGUGGUGGGGUAAGGGCCUACCAAGGAGACGAUCCGUACCUGGUCUGAGAGGAUGAUCAGUCACACUGGAACUGAGACACGGUCCAAACUCCUACGGGAGGCAGCAGUGGGGAAUAUUUGACAAUGGGCGAAAGCCUGAUCGAGCCAGGCCGCGUGUGUGAAGAAGGUUUUCGGAUUGUAAAGUACUUUCAGUCGGGAGGCGGUACCGACAGAAGAAGCACCGGCUAACUCCGUGCCAGCAGCCGCGGUAAUAC
rnacentral:rRNA from 1 species